AUAAACUGCUGUGAAACAGAAAUGAAAACAUGAAUAUUUGCUGGAAGUGAACCGUGAACCUUGGUAUUCCCAGAUUCAGUUAUUAUCCAGUGACAUUGUUUCUAAGGAACACCUCUGUGUGUGUAGCAACCAAUGGAAAUGAACAACUCUGUUAGUGCUUGUUACUGCAAUCUCUCAUUGGUCAAUAUAGCUUCUUCUACAUUAAGUUAUUAGUUGACCUGCCUUAGAUGGGUUCCUUGAUUUCUUCAUUGUUUUUAUUGUAUGUGUGUGGUGGAGGGGUUUUUUUCUCCUGUUUUGUUAUUUUCGGGCUGUUUCGUUUGUUCUGUCUUCUCCACAUCAAACAACAUGGACAAUAUUUACAAAUAAUAAUAAUAAUAAAGACUUACAAAACAAAAAAACAAUAUAUACAUACUAACAGAACUAAUUUGUGUCUCUGCUAUAACAUUAACUUAAGCAUCAAUACAAACUUUUACCAGAAAUUUCCAUCAACAUCAUCAUCAUCAUCAUCAUCAUCCUCAUCAUUGUUAUAACAUUUUCAUCAUUUUCAGUUUUUUGUGUAAUCUAUUCAGUUAAUUUUUUUUUGUUUUGUUUUUUUUUUCUUUUUUUAUAUUUCAACCCUCUUCCAGCAUCUCAAGCCGCAAAUUGAGUCCACAAAGACAGAGAACCAAAAUGGCACUGGAACCAAACAGUCUGUCGUAUAUAAUUUACAGUUACAUAUUCAUUUUACAAUAUAGUUGUGACUCUGUCGAGUUUGGAUUACCAACUCGAGGUUUGUGUGUUCAAGUCAAGCUCGGGUGUUUUGCUAAUAAUAUGAAAUAGACACUCAGAGACCCUAGAUCUCAGUUCAUGCUGAUCCAUUCCUAAAGAACAACUCAUUGCUAAUAAGGAAAUAACUUCCCACUUUCUGCAGCAAUUAAGCAGUUGCACUGUUGAUAUUCCUUGUAAUUAACACCAAUGUACUUCCAAAGUGUGGACCACACAGACAUGCUGUCUCCUCUCUCUCUGUUUUUACUACUACUACUACUACUACUACUACUACUACUACUACUACUACUGCUGCUGCUGCUGCUGCUGCUGCCUCAACUUCUUAGUGCAUUGGUCAAUAUAGCUUCUAUGUUAUGUCAGACAUGCUGGCUCAUUCAUCUGUCCUCUGUUGUGACAGGUUGUUGAUAUUUCUGGGUAAAGAAUCAACUUGUAGCCAGUCACUCUCAUGACAGAUAAAUGAUAUCGAAAAUACUAGUGCUGGUUCAGAAAACAGAUAUUAAUUAUAUAAUUAACUCUUUCCAUUAUCAUGUUUCUUUUGAAAUACAGUGUCUUUGUGUUAUUUAAUUUCAAAACUGAUGAAAGAGCUAGUAAAAUUAUUUAUUGCUAUUAAGGUGAAGAAUAAACAUGGAAAACAGUCUCUACAUAUGUACAAAUUUAUUGAAAGACUGUUGACUACUCAUGAGUUUUGCUUUUUUAUGAGUUUUCUAUUUUGUUCCACAGAAUGUCCAACAGUCACCCUCCUCACCAAACAAACUCAGUGGGGUUGCCAGUUUAGUCACCGAUAACCUGACCAGGUUGUACUGGGUUACAUGUUACUUGUAGCACUCAAGAGUGACCUGACACCUUUACAGAGUGUACUAAUUGCUUUUUACAGGGUCCCAGCACAGGUGAUUUUUUAUGUGACACCAGCUUACAAUUUAUAUAAUUAACUCCUCUCAUUAUCAUAAUUUAUGUUGGAACUCAUUAUCAUAAUUUAUGUUGGAACAGUUUUUGUUUCAAUUCAUUUUGAAAAUAACAGUUUAGUAUAACCUUUUUCGUUAUUAUGCUGGUGUUUCUAACAUAAAUUAGACUGGAAUUUAAAUUUAGAUCAUUCUAAAACAGGGAAUUUGUAUCAUUCAUUGAACAAGGGUCAGUUUCAGGUAUGUUGAGGUUAAAAGGGCUGAAGAGGAUUUGAAAAAUUUAUUUUUCAAUUCAAUUUCAAAUUUUCCCGGUGAUUAAGUCCAACAUGUGCAGUAUUUAUUUUAAGACAUGUUUACAUUUACCUCAUGUAGAAUAUGAAUUAAGCUUGUAGAAUGGUUAAAUAUUGAAAACAGUUGGUUGACAUUCUUUCAGGGUUAACAUGCAGUUGAGGGGUUUCAAAAAAAAUGAAAGUAAAUUGACCAGGAAUGAUAUCUGGUAAUUUUGUGUGAACAAUGUGUGACACAACCAACGACAGAACAUUAAUGCCAUCACUUCCCAUUGGUUCUUUCUGUACAGCACAGUACUCCUGCAUUGCUCACAUGUAGCUGUGAUGGCUGUCAUGCAUCAAAUUGCUUUCUCAGUGGUGGUGGUCAUUGUUGGAUUGAGUACUUGGGAGUGGUGUACUUCAGCUGCUGUUUCUAAAUUACUUGACAUCAUCAGACAAUACUCUACAAGUAGGUACCUGAGAAUGCAGCAUAAUGAGGGAGUUUCAUCAUCAUCGUUUAGCGUCUGCUUUCCAUGCUAGCAUGGGUUGGACGGUUCAACUGGGGUCUGGGAAGCCAGAAGGCUGCACCAGGCCCAGUCUGAUCUGGCAGUGUUUCUACGGCUGGAUGCCCUUCCUAACGCCAACCACUCCGUGAGUGUAGUGGGUGCUUUUUACAUGCCACCAGCACAGGGGCCAAGCGAGGCUGGCAACGGCCACGAUCGGAUGGUGCUUUUUACGUGCCACCAGCACAGGUGCCAGACGGGGCUGGCAAACGGCCACGAUCGGAUGGUGCUCUUUACGUGCCACCGGCACAGGUGUCAGACGAGGCUGGCAAACAGCCACGAUCGGAUGGUGCUUUUUACGUGCCACCGGCACAGGUGCCAGAUGAGGCUGGCAAACAGCCACGAUCGGAUGGUGCUUUUUACGUGCCACCGGCACGGGGGCCAGGCGCGGCUGGCAAUGGCCACGAUCGAAUGGUGCUUUUUACGUGCCACCGGCACGAGGCCAGUUGGGGCAGCACUGGCAACGGCCACGUUCAGAUGGUUCUCUUACGUACCACCGGCACUGGUAUCACAGCUGCAAUUUCCAUUGAUGUUGAUCGAUUUGGAUUUUGGAUUUUCGCUUGCCUCAACAGGUCUUCACAAGUAGAGUUUUGUGUCCCAAGAAGGAAAGGUAUGCAUAAGUGGACUGGCUACAUCCCAUGUAGAGGCCACGGGUUAUGGUCUCACUUGUCGUGCCAUUAAUAAAAAAUUAAGGGAUUUCACCUAUUCUCUUUAUGAAAUUAUAGGAAGUCCUUGUCACUUCUAAUUUAGUUUCUUUUUUUUUUUCUUUUUUUAACCCCAAAACUGCAUGUUAAAAACUGCAUUUGCUUUAUGAUCAUAAAUUGAACUUCUGGGGUUGGGGUGGGAGUCAGAAUUGUAAUGCCAUAUUAACUUUAAAAAAUUAGUGUUGGGGCUGGGUUGGAAUUCAAUGCAAAGGAAUAUUGUUUUUAAUAGUGAUUGAAUUAUUUAGGAAACGAUCAGAAAUUUAUACAUAUUGAAACUUAAAGUGUUAAUUUCAUAGUUCCAGUCCUAGAAAAUGUCCAAAUAUGCUCAACUGAACUUCUUUUUCUGAUUAAGCUAUAAAAAAUAUUUCAGAGCCACAGACAUGAUUGUAUGGUACGAAGCUGGCUUCACAACCAUGUGAUAGCUUGGGCAAGCAUCUUCUACUACAGCUUUUGAGCUGACCAAAGGCUUGUGAGUGGAUUUGGAAGACAGAAACUGAAAGAAGCCCAUAGUAUGUAUGUGUGUGUGCUUUUGUGUUUGUUUUCAUCUCCAUGACUUAGCUGUUUGACAAAAGAGACCAAUAGAAUAAGUACUGGGGGGGGUUGAUUCAUUUGACUAAAAAUUCUUUCAAGACAAUGCCCCAGCAUGGCCGCAGUCAAAUGACCGAAACAACAAAAAGAUACAAGAGGUGUACCUGCCUAGCAAUUGAUUUGAUCUGAGUGCAUGUGUUGAAGCUAAAAUAAUUUACAGCCUGGAACACUGUUCACAUAAGAAGCAAUUAUUUAAGCAAAGUUAACAGUUUUUGUGGUUUUCUGUAUGGUUAGUACAGUUUUGCAAGCUGUAAUUGUUAUGUAUAAAAAAGAGAAUAUUAUACGAAACCAAUGUGCUACCUCAAUCAAUAAAAGGAGUGGAUACCUUCUACACUUCCACAUUAUUCCAUUCAUUUGAAUUGGUAUCCAUUAAUCUCACAGAAUCUCGUUUUAUUUUUUGCUCCUUCCAUUUCAUCAGAAUAAAGCAGUGAACUGGCAGAAACGUUAGCACACCAGGCGAAAUGCCUCACAUUUCAUCUGUCUUUACGUUCUGAGCUCAAAUUCCGAUGAGGUUGACUUUGCCUUUCAUCCUUUCGGGGUUGAUAAAUUAAGUACCAGUUGCAUACUGGGGUCGAUGUAAUUGACUAUCCCCUUCCCCAAAAUUUCAGCCCUUGUGCCUAGAGUAGAAAAGAAUCAUUUCUGCAUCAAACAAAAUGCCCAGUGGUUUUCCUUUCAGCUCUUACAUUCUGAGCUUGAAUCCUACCCAAGGUAACCUUGCCUUUCAUCCUUUCACUGGUGAUAGAAUAAAGUGUCAGUUACAUCCUGGGGUUGAUGUAAUCAACGUGCUCCCUCCCCUUUAGUUGCUGGCCUUAUGCCAAAAUUUGAAAUAAUUACUUCAACAAUAGACCUCCCUUUACCUUCUGAUUUUGAAUUCCACUAGGAUUAAUUCACUUUCCAAGUACCAGUCAUGAACUGCGGUCAGUGCAGUUGACAUAUCUUCUCGCUCUAAACACUGCUGACUUUGUGCCAAAAUCAGUGAUAAUUAUUUAUUCAGAAUAAAUGGAUUAUAUAUUUUUAUUUUACCAUUACCAACACUUUUUUUGGGGCUCCCUAAUUCAGCUUAGUUCCCUAACAUUAUUUAAUUCUUAUAAACUGUUCACUGACCUUUAACUCCACUACCACCAUCAACAAUAAUAACAGUAACCAACUUGAUGUUGCAUUUGAUAACACAUAAAAAAUUUCACAAGAUUUCCUCUUUAAGACGCAGUAUUUUUGGCCCUCCUUCUGUUAUAAAUCCACUUAGUUAUAGGAUCAUAUUAUUCUGGGAGUAUCCUGUAACAGAUGGGUAUCCUGUCUAGUAAGGAGUAAAGAUUUGCAAGCUCUUGACAUCUUGGAAAUUGUGACCUGUUUCAGUCCAAUGGAAUUCUUCAAAUUUCUGUACAGUGGUAUUUCUUCAGUUCCAUGCUCUAUGAUGUUCACUUUACUAUUAAAUAAUACUUUGAUGAAUUCUAGUUAACGAGAGAACCUCUUUAGAAAUAACAGCCAAAUUUCUCAAAUCAUGCUCUAACCUCUAAAAUGAAGACACAUUGGAUAAUAUAACCCCAUGAUGUAUAAAAAGAUGGUAUGGUCACGACUGGAAUACCUCUGGUCAAAUGUUUGACCAACCAGAACUAAACAAUAACAUGCAUUCACUCCACCAAACUGCAUUACACAUCUCUCAUCAUGUAGCAUCCACUUUUCAAUACUUGCAUAGGGAAGAUGAGAUUUGUAGAAGCAGUUCUAUGACCGAAUGCCCUUGUCACACAAACCCUCACCUCUUUCUGAGAUAUGUUAUUAUUUUCCUACGGCCAGACAUGUUUUUGAAGAGUAUUGGAAAUGAGUGACACUGUAUCAUAAUGACUUCCAUUUACAACUAUCACACAGCAUCACUAAUAUCUCUUACCCAAUCAUAUCACUUGUAUCUUUUGCUCUUGCCUCUCUUUUUGUUUUCCUAUUAUGGUUAUUAACAUUAACAAGCAUUUUUAUAAAAUUAUUAUUAUUAUAAAUAAAUGUUAAUUAAAAUUC
rnacentral:lncRNA from 1 species